rnacentral:rRNA from 1 species
GACGAACGCUGGCGGCGUGCUUAACACAUGCAAGUCGAACGGAAAGGCCCUGCUCUUGUGGGGUGCUCGAGUGGCGAACGGGUGAGUAACACGUGAGUAACAUGCCCCUGACUUUGUGAGAACAUCUGGGAACUGCGGCUAAUACCCGGUAGGAGCUCCUGCUCCGUGGGGGGCGUUGGAGAGUUUCGGCGGUUCGGGAUGGACUCGCGGCUUAUGAGCUGGAUUGGCGGGUAGGUGCUUUCCAGGGCUAUGAAGGGUAGCCGGCCUGGGAGGGUGAACGGCGACAUUGGGCCUGAGAGACGGCCCAGACUCGUACGGGAGGCAGCAGUGGGGAAUAUUGCAGAAUGGGCGGAAGCCUGAUGCAGCAACGCCGCGUGCGGGAUGACGGCCUUCGGGUUGUAAACCGCUUUCGCCGGUGACGAAGCGUGAGUGACGGUAAUGGGUAAAGAAGCACCGGCUAACUACGUG